GGACUAAUAGGCAAUUGAGAAUCUGAAAUAUUCAAAACCUUCUGCCCAUAAAAGAGCAGUGUGGAUUGCCUUGCUUCUUAAGUUUUGAGGCCCUAAAAGUUCCCCCAAUAAUAUUCUCUCUAUUCCAGAUCUGAAAUUUGAAACCCAAAACUCAGAAACCAAAAAAAAAAACAGCAGAAAAACUCAAACAAAAAUGUAUUGUUCUAUUGAAUAGUUUUAAAUUUUUAGCUAUCGGAUCAAAUUUUCACCUUCCACAUUUGUUUGCUGAAAUUCCAAAAGUUGCCAGGUGAUUUCGAAUGGUUGUAGUCCUGAUCAAACUGGUUUUAGUGGAGUUUCUGGACUGUUGAAAGUUUAAGUGAUAUUGGAUUCAUUGUGUGCAUUUUGUUAAUGUGUUUGGCUUGCAACACUAGUCUCUUUUCGUUUAAAAAAUAGUUCUGGACUCCUGAGUUAUUUCUAGGUUGAAAUCGAUUAUGUUUGACUGCUGUUUGCAACUUUGAUUACUGUUGUUGUGCUGCUGUGCUAACUUCUUCUUCCCUGUUGUUAUUCACCUUCCCAGGUACACAUUUCGAGUCGAUUUUGAUGUAUCUUCCCCCUGUUGACAACCUGAAUCAAAGCUGAAAUCAAUUCUCUGCCUUGGAUCUCUCAUUUCAUUAUGUUUAAAUAAUUUUGUUAUGAUUUUGUGGUUGAACAUUGUAAUCACAUUUCGAGUGACUGGAUUGAAAUAGGUUCUGUAAUUAUUGGACUAUAAACUAUUAUGUCUUAGCUUCAUAUAAGUUUAACUUUUAAAGUGUAGCACUAGUUGUAGUUGGUUUUCCAUUAGUUUAUUCAGAUAUUGAUUACUUCUGAAUGCAAAUAAUUUCCUAUUAGGUAAUGGAGUGAUUCACAAUAAUUAUAGUUAAUCUCCAAUUGAUUGCUUUCACGAAUCUAUUUAAGUAGUUGUUUUCGUUAUUAAUCAGUAGUGAAAUAAGCCUGAAGUGUUUGAAGCUAAGACAAAUUAUUAUUGAAUAAAAUUGAGUACUGUUCUUGCAAAUUUGGUUUGUUCAAUUUUGAUUAACAAUGCGUUAGAUAGGAGUCUGCUUAAUAUAAAUGAACUGAAGAUGUGAUAGGGUGAAAAAAUAGUUUGAAAUAGUUGUUGUUGUAUUUUCCGAAUUUCAAAACACAUU
rnacentral:lncRNA from 1 species